UAGAUGGAGUUGUUGAGGUUAAUGUGUCUAAUUGGUUAAUGUUAUAAUUUAAGCUUUUUUUCAGAUUUUUGCUUGAUUUUUUUAUCAUUUGUUUUUUUGCUGGUUUUACUUCUCAAGGUUAAUUUACCCGUAUGACCUCGAUGUGGCCUUUUGUAUUGGUUAUGCGUCGAUAGACAUAAAUACAUUAAUGGUUGACAAUCAACAGUUAAUAAUACAGUUUAUUACAUUUGAAGACAUUUUGGAUUUUUCUUGAGCUUUUCUUUCUGUUCCCUCUCUUUUACUAUGCAACACAAGGAAUUUGAACAACCAAUGAUCCGGGUUUUGUCAUUGAUUGAACCACCAUUAGGAUAGACAUCGGUCUGGCAAUGAAAAGGCACAUUAAUGAUGGUAAAUUUUAAUUAAUAAAUCAACACAACCAUUUUCCUGAGGUGAAAAAGUUGCAUCUUUUGGUUAUCCUGAUGUUGGUUUGAUUAUCCCCAUGUAAAUGUACGCAAUUGAAGACAAAGCGCCAAUUUGUAACCGAGUCACAAGUGGAGCUGGGCCAGUGAAGCAAGUGCUACAUUAAUGUUGAAACAAGGACGGGAAAUCCAAAUUGUUAUUUAUUAAUUGCUAUCAAUUGUACUUGAUGAAGCAAAUAAUGGCUGAGCAAAGGAAAACAAUUGAAAACAAUUGAUUAAAGCCACUCUAAAAUCAAUGGUGUUAAACUAAAUGGUAAUACUUUUAAUAAUACGUACUAAACAGGCUGUCAACAAAUUGUCAUCCAAUUGUCCUUCAAUGCCAACAAACCAAAAGAUGGAUAAAGAAAUGGAAACCAGAAAAAAAGGGAAAAAAAGCCAAGAAGAAAAGAAAGAAAAACCGUCAAUGAUUGACAAUUUACUUGGUGAUCAUUCAUUGGAUAAGAUGCAUUAAUCAAUCACCAUCAACAAUUUACUCUUGCCGUGACUAAGGUGAUCAUUCAAUUGUAAUAUUGGAUUAAUUAGUGGCAAUUACAAAUCAUGAUCCAAUUAAUAGGAAUCCCUGAGUUGUCAAUCGUCAACAUUUCAAUUUGACCAGUCAAACCAACAAUCGUCAACUCUAAAGUAUUUCAUCGAAAGGUUAACACAACCAGAUGAUGUUGACUGCAAUGAGCCCUAUGAUUAUGAGUAUGAUUAUAAUGGUGAUUAUGAUGGUUAUUAUGAUGGUUAUUAUGGUGAUGUAAAUGUUGAAAGUGAACAAGAAGAAAAAACAAUAAGUGAAAUGAUAUAAUUUCUUGUAUUCUUUUGUUUUCCAUUCAUUUCUUCAUCAACCAAAUAUUACAUUUGAGAUUUACAAUUUUUAUUUCUCUUGUCAUCAUCACCAUAAUCUGAAGAUAGGUUCAAAUUGAAACCAUUUUCAUCCUUAAAUUGUCCUGAAAAAUGAAUGAAAAUAAAUAAAAACCAUUUUCAUUCGUAUUUUCACUUGGUAUAGGUUGAGAUUGAAAAUAAUCAUAAUCAUAAUAAUAGCAACAAUAGUAAUAUUUAAGAUGAAUUUAACACUAAUCAUAAUUUUACUUUCAUUUAAUACUUAACUUUCCACUGUUAAGUGCUUCUUUCCCUGAUUAUUUCAACUCUCCUUUCCUCACAUAGCAAAAUGUUACUAUUAAAUGGUGACAAUCCUUUCGAUCCUUUACUCUCAUCUUCCUCUUCCCAUCCAACUUGGUAAUCUUAAAUCAUCACCCUUCAUCACUUGAUCAUCUCAUCCUUAUACCAUCAUCACAACCAUCAUCAUCACAUUUAUUGAGAGAGAGAGAAACUUUUGCUGAACCAAAAUUGUUUUAUCAAAAAACUUGUAGAAACAGAAGAAGAAGAUGAAAAGCUGAUGAAGAUGAAGGAUAAAGAAAAUGAUAAUCUUUGAGUUAAAAGAUGAGGUUGAUGAGGAAAAGACAAAGAUUAAAGUUGAGCAAAAGUGAAGCAAAUUUUGAGACUUUUACUCUUCACAUUUCAUGUUAAUGACAAUUGUUCAGGGUUUGAAACAAGAAAUGUUAUUACUUCUUACACAAGAAGCAAACUUUUAAUACAAUUUUUCUUCAAUCCGUACAAUAAUGUUUUUAUCAUCACCAUCACCAUCAUCAUGCUCAUCUUGAAUUACAUUUCAUACUUUAAUCCAACAGAGCGAAAUAAAAAAUUGAUGAAUCGUAAAUGAAAAUAGCUUAAACUGGAAAAACAAAAGUACGAAAAGAUGGAAAACUAGGAAACAACGAAAAACUCGAAAACUCUAACAUGUUAACACAUUAAGUCUGAUUGUCUAUCAGCUAAUCAUUACAAUCCUAAUCAUGUAAACUAAUGCAUUGUAAAUGAGAGAUGAACAUUAGCAAAAUAUAAUCAAAAUUGUGAUUCCAUCAACUUGAAUUUCCUGUAAUAACCAAUACAUGAUUAAUAAAACUGUUAAUUCUGUUGAUUCA